rnacentral:rRNA from 1 species
AAGCGGCAACAGCUCAAAUUUGAAAGCUGGCUCCUUCGGAGUCCGCAUUGUAAUUUGUAGAGGAUGAUUCGGCGAGGGCUCCCGCCUAAGUCCACUGGAACGUGGCGUCAUAGAGGGUGAGAAUCCCGUAUGCGGUGGGUUGCCUUAGCCAUGUGAAUCUCCUUCGACGAGUCGAGUUGUUUGGGAAUGCAGCUCUAAAUGGGAGGUAAAUUUCUUCUAAAGCUAAAUACCGGCCAGAGACCGAUAGCGCACAAGUAGAGUGAUCGAAAGAUGAAAAGCACUUUGGAAAGAGAGUUAAAAAGUACGUGAAAUUGUUGAAAGGGAAGGGCUUGCAACCAGACUUGUCCGCAGUUGCUCAGCCGGUCUCCUGACCGGCGUACUCUUCUGCGGCCAGGCCAGCAUCAGUUCGGGCGGUCGGAUAAAGACCUAGGGAAUGUAGCUCCUCUCGGGGAGUGUUAUAGCCCUGGGUGGAAUGCGGCCAGCCUGGACUGAGGAUCUCGCUUCGGCUAGGAUGCUGGCGUAAUGGUUGUAAGCCGCCCGUCUUGAAACACGGACC